rnacentral:rRNA from 1 species
AUUCUAAAAAAAUUGUACUCAUGCAGGUACUUGAAGGGUGCAGACUUGGCAGCGGAGUGGUUUGUUCAACAACAGUACAAUGACCGAAAGAACUUCAGUUCAAAAAAAUAUGCAGGAGGUUUGGGAGCCAAACAACUGGAGGUUCAAAGAUUGUCGUGGAGCAAGUUCAAGAGUUUGGUUUCAUGUGAAAAAAUAUCAUGCAAGUUCAACUAUAUAACCCGCCGCCGCCCAGGGACCCAACGCGCCGCCGCUCCUCUGAUUCUGCUCCCCGGCUCUGCUUGCAAUUCUUCUGCCGACACCAAUGUAUCAGCACCUUGGCUAUCCAUUCAAGUAAUCACAAAGACCAUCAUGGACGACGACGGGCCUACAGCAGCUAUGGUUUUAGUCAAGUGUUUCAAAAAUGCACAAUACUACUUUGUAUGCUUCACUCUUUGUCGUGGGAAGGUGACUAAAGCUCCAUAUUGCAAUUUCACUAGACUAUCCGGAUUUCAUUUA